AUUGAACGCUGGCGGCAUGCUUUACACAUGCAAGUCGAACGGUAACAGGCCUUCGGGCGCUGACGAGUGGCGAACGGGUGAGUAAUGCAUCGGAACGUGCCCAGUCGUGGGGGAUAACGCAGCGAAAGCUGUGCUAAUACCGCAUACGAUCUGCGGAUGAAAGCGGGGGACCUUCGGGCCUCGCGCGAUUGGAGCGGCCGAUGUCAGAUUAGGUAGUUGGUGGGGUAAAGGCUCACCAAGCCAACGAUCUGUAGCUGGUCUGAGAGGACGACCAGCCACACGGGGACUGAGACACGGCCCAGACUCCUACGGGAGGCAGCAGUGGGGAAUUUUGGACAAUGGGCGCAAGCCUGAUCCAGCAAUGCCGCGUGCAGGAAGAAGGCCUUCGGGUUGUAAACUGCUUUUGUACGGAGCGAAAAGGCUCCCUCUAAUACAGGGGGCUCAUGACGGUACCGUAAGAAUAAGCACCGGCUAACUACGUGCCAGCCGCCGCAGUAA
rnacentral:rRNA from 1 species